CCAGGAAGUAACCUCCCCCAACGACCAGGAUGGUCGGGGCGGUCCCUAGAAAGGAUUGUGGGAGGCGUUCAGACACUUCACGUCUUCCACUUUGUUGCCAGAGGCGUUUGAGAAAUUGGUUUGCGCCACGAACAGCAGACAGCGUCUCAGGAGUCUGCCCCAGCCACGUCAUCUACAGGUCUGUGAAGGGAAAUGAUCACUGUGCAUCGCAUCUUUAUAAAAAAAACAGUCAUAUCAUCAAAAUUCAACCCUUUAAAACUGGACGUAGUGGGUGAUUGAAGGAAGAUGAAAAGUAAAAAAGGUC